rnacentral:lncRNA from 10 species
UAAAAAUAAGGCCAGGCAUGGUGGCUCACGCCUGUAAUCCUAGCACUUUUGGGAGGCCGAGGCAGGCAGAUCACCUGAGGUCAGGAGUUCAGGACCAGCCUGGCCAACAUGGCAAAACCACGUAAAAAUACAAAAAUUAGCCAGGCAUGAUGGUGGGUGCCUAUAAUCCCAGCUACUCGGGAGGCUGAGGCAGGAGAAUGGCGUGAACCUGGAAGGCAGAGCUUGCAGUGAGCCGAGA